GAAAAGUUCGCUAUUUGUUGCAUUUGUGAUAAAAUUUCGGCAGGAUUUUUCUGAGUACAAAUCCUCCGAAAAGCCUAUGAAAACGUUACAUUUUUCUCUGUUGGUACUGUUCUUGCUUCAUUAUGAAUUCAUUUUUACUCCCAUGAGAGUUACGUGGAAUUUCCAUGGAAUUUGUGCUUUCGAGUUGUUUGUGCUGAAACGCAUUCUCUCGUAUAAUACUCCGUACACUUUGAAAUGGUGAUGCCACAAUUUACCCUGCAGCAGAGAGCUUUUAUGCAUGGUAUCAGAGUUCCUCCGUAGCAACAACAUAAACUUGGUUCGCCAAAGUUUCACGAAUAUCCAGAUGUACGAUGCCUUCACGUAUUCGCACGUGAAGGGCAUCGUACAUGCAUCCGGAUAUUCUUUCGUGAACUUUGGCGAACCAAGUUUAUGUUGUUGCUACGGAGGAACUCUGAUACCAUAAAAGCUCUCUGCUGCGGGGUAAAUUGUGGCAUCGCCAUUUCAAAGUGUACGGAGUAUUAUACGAGAGAAUGCGUUUCAGC